rnacentral:lncRNA from 1 species
CUUCCAUAAGCUAAUUUGUAUCCUGCUCUCCUUUCAAGAUUAUGCUGAAUGAUAAGGUAUGCCAUCCACUUAAUGGACUCCCAUUUGUUUGGCCAAAGAAAAUAAAGGAUGAUUCCAGAAGAAAUAUUUUUGUUAUAUAUUGACCUAUCAUUUCAGUUAGGCAAGUUUGAGCAAAUGGAAUAUUAUUGUACAGCUUAAGGUUCCUGUAUUUCAAGAAUAAGAAUGCAAAAGACAAAAACAAAUGGAGUCAAACUUUAGACUCUACUUAUUUUGAAAUUUAUGGUGUGAAUUUGUUUAGGGGACAAUGAAAAUAAUUAAGAAAAAGACCAUCACAAUAAAAGAAUAGCUUAAAAAGCCCUCCAACAGAAUAUAUUGAAGAAGAUGGCAAAAAGGAAUGUUUCAAAAAGUAGAAUGACUAAGUACAAGUUAAUAUGAGAUAGUAAAGGACUUUUCAAUAAAGUGCUAGUUAAAGCAAAUAAAAAUGCCCAAUUCAGGGGAGUCGAUAUAAGAGAAA